UGAGGAAUAUUGGUCAAUGGGCGAGAGCCUGAACCAGCCAAGCAGCGUGCAGGAUGACGGCCCUAUGGUUUGUAACCUGCUUCUAUGUGGGGAUAAAGUGCGUGACGUGUCAUUCAUUGCAGGUACCACAUGAAUAAGGACCGGCUAAUUCCGUGCCAGCAGCCGCGGUAUUACGGAAGGUUCGGGCUUUAUCCGGAGUAAUUGGGUUUAAAGGUAGCGUAGGCUGUCUAUUAAGCGUGUUGUGAAAUUUACCGGCUCAACCGGUGGCUAGCAGCGCGAACUGGUCGACUUGAGUAUGCAGGAAGUAGGCGGAAUUCAUGGUGGAGCGGUGAAAUGCUUAGGUAUCAUGACGAACUCCGAUUGCGCAGGCAGCUUACUGUAGCAUAACUGACGCUGAUGCUCGAAAGUGCGGGUAUCAAACAGG
rnacentral:rRNA from 1 species